UACGAAGGGGGCUAGCGUUGCUCGGAAUCACUGGGCGUAAAGGGUGCGUAGGCGGGUCUUUAAGUCAGGGGUGAAAUCCUGGAGCUCAACUCCAGAACUGCCUUUGAUACUGGCGAUCUCGAGUCCGGGAGAGGUGAGUGGAACUGCGAGUGUAGAGGUGAAAUUCGUAGAUAUUCGCAAGAACACCAGUGGCGAAGGCGGCUCACUGGCUCGGUACUGACGCUGAGGUGCGAAAGCGUGGGGAGCAAACAGG
rnacentral:rRNA from 1 species